rnacentral:rRNA from 1 species
UCCAAGUGUAGCGGUGAAAUGCGUAGAGAUUUGGAGGAAUACCAGUGGCGAAGGCGGCCCCCUGUUCUCGCAUACUGACGCUCAGGUGCGAAAGCGUGGGGAGCAAACAGGAUUAGAUACCCUGGUAGUCCACGCCGUAAACGAUGUCUACUAGAUGUUCGAGGUCUUGUACUUUGAGUAUCGCAGCUAACGCAUUAAGUAGACCGCCUGGGGAGUACGGUCGCAAGAUUAAAACUCAAAUGAAUUGACGGGGGCCCGCACAAGCGGUGGAGCAUGUGGUUUAAUUCGACGCAACGCGAAGAACCUUACCUACUCUUGACAUCUAGCGAAGAUUGUAGAGAUACGAUUGUGCCUUCGGGAACGCUAAGACAGGUGCUGCAUGGCUGUCGUCAGCUCGUGUUGUGAAAUGUUGGGUUAAGUCCCGCAACGAGCGCAACCCUUAUCCUUAGUUGCCAGCACGUAAUGGUGGGAACUCUAGGGGAGACUGCCGGUGAUAAACCGGGAGGAGGGUGGGGGACGACGUCAAGUCAUCAUGGGCCCUUACGAGUAGGGCUACACAC